rnacentral:rRNA from 1 species
AGCCCUACGGGACGCAGCAGUGGGGAAUAUUGCACAAUGGGCGCAAGCCUGAUGCAGCCAUGCCGCGUGUAUGAAGAAGGCCUUCGGGUUGUAAAGUACUUUCAGCGGGGAGGAAGGGAGUAAAGUUAAUACCUUUGCUCAUUGACGUUACCCGCAGAAGAAGCACCGGCUAACUCCGUGCCAGCAGCCGCGGUAAUACGGAGGGUGCAAGCGUUAAUCGGAAUUACUGGGCGUAAAGCGAACGCAGGAGGUUAGUUAAGUUAGAUGUGAAAUUCACGGGGUCAACCUGGGAAGUGGAUCUGAUA